rnacentral:rRNA from 1 species
GACGAACCGAGCGAACGUUGUUCGGAAUCACUGGGCUUAAAGGGCGCGUAGGCGGGCCGCCAAGUCCGUGGUGAAAUCCCCCGGCUCAACCGGGGAAGUGCCUCGGAUACUGGCGGUCUCGAGUGGGGUAGGGGCACGCGGAACUUCCGGUGGAGCGGUGAAAUGCGUAGAUAUCGGAAGGAAACGCCGGUGGCGAAAGCGGCGUGCUGGACCCUUUCUGACGCUGAGGCGCGAAAGCCAGGGGGAGCGAACGGG